CUACGGGGCGCACCAGUGGGGAAUUUUGCGCAAUGGGCGAAAGCCUGACGCAGCAAUACCGCGUGAGUGAAGAAGGCCUUUGGGUCGUAAAGCUCUUUUGUAAGGGAAGAUAGUGACGGUACCUUACGAAUAAGCACCGGCUAACUCCGUGCCAGCAGCCGCGGUAAUACGGAGGGUGCAAGCGUUGUUCGGAUUUACUGGGCGUAAAGGGCACGUAGGCGGCAUAGCAAGUUAAGGGUGAAAUCCCGGAGCUCAACUUCGGAACUGCUCUUAAAACUGCUAAGCUAGAGAUAGUCAGAGGCGGGUGGAAUUCCUGGUGUAGAGGUGAAAUUCGUAGAUAUCAGGAGGAACACCGGUGGCGAAGGCGGCCCGCUGGGGCUAUUCUGACGCUGAGGUGCGAAAGCGUGGGGAGCGAACGGGAUUAGAUACCCCGGUAGUC
rnacentral:rRNA from 1 species